rnacentral:lncRNA from 1 species
AUGAGUGCUGUGCCAUAUUUUGGACUCCUUCUAGCCCUCGUCAUCCAAUCGAUGGUGGCAAUGGACCCAGGCGGGCAGCAGCGGCGACCGCAGCGCAGCCAGUCGGUUUUGCAGAAAAUGAGAAACGUGGCCCGUGUGGCAGACUCGGAUCCUUGCCUGGACCUCGGCGAACAGAAGAUCCAGCGGAAAAAUUGGGAAGAAAUAGAUGAAAAGUCCGCCCUUUGUCAGGCUGCCUUUGAUGACCUCAUGUCACUGCCGGACGACCUGAAAGACACUUGCAAGGGCGCCUGCCGGGCAGAGUGUCAACUCAAGAAGAAGAAGUCAGGAAAAUGGUUCCAGUGCACGGUAGUGACACCGUCUCAUUGUUUUUGUAAACCAUCUACGAAGCCUUUUGCGUUUUGUGCCUCGAAUGUCGCCCUGGAGCUUCAACGGGACCCAGAUGCUCCGGCCCCUGGAAGGACACUUCACCAGGCAUUGAGCGCCAAUCGCCGAGGAGGCGGCGGAGCCAACUGACAUCCAAUUUUAAAUCACAUAGUUAAAGUCAUUUCAUUUAUUUUUUAUUUAAUACGAAGCUUCUCUAUUUAAAAUUAUACAUAUUUUAACUUAUCAAGACAGUGGUUAUCCCGGUGCCCAAUUUUGUUACGCACUGGAGAUGUGGAGAGACUUAUAAUAUUCCAAGCAUUUUAAAUUUUCAAUAGGCUAUCUGCAGUAUAAUAUUCCAAGCAUUUUAAAUUUUCAUUAGGCUAUCUGCAGUAAUAUUCCAAGCAGUUUAGAUUUUCAAUAAGCCACCUGCACUUCCAUGCUAAGGAAAAACACCGUAUGAACCUUCAAAUGUUGCCAUGUCUUAUUCAAUAAAAGACGAAUUUACUUGGAAAAUUGUGAAUAUUUUACAUCGAAUAUUUCAGACAAAUUUGUUUACGAUUUAAUCUACAACAUCUGAACAUUUCAAAGAGAAAUAUGCAUAAACGUCCGCAAAAAUAAACAUUUUAUCGAAAGAAAUUUGACAACUCUCGAAUGUUCAUACGGUGUUUUUUCCUUAGCACGACAGUGCACACAGCUUGGACAGCUUGAAAGCAUAUCGAUAGUGAAACUGCCAGACCACGCAUCUAGUUUGCGGUGUUUGAAAAUUUCUGCUCCCAUUUUAUUUUUUGAGGAGAAUAAAUAAAAAAUGCUCCUUAAAGGUUUCACAGAAUAUCGUUUCUUUAGACGUUUAAUGUUUUUUUUUAUUAAAAUGUAAUUUUUCCUGAACUUUUUGAAUGUAAAACUGGUUAUUUUUUUAAUAGAACUGUUGUUCUUUAUGAUCUCCUACCAUCGAUUAGUCAUGUUUAAAACAAUACCGAUUUGUUUCAACACCAUUUUUUCAGUAAAUUAUGCAUUUAAACGAUUGUAGGGGGGGGGGGGGGGUCUGGCCAGCCUUACGAGUGCCUUACGGGGGCGAGGGAGGUUCUAAAAAUCGGAAAAAGUGCCUUACGUAAUUUGCGGAAGGCUCCGUAUCAGGAAAAAAUUAUGAAAAAUACUGCAAACAGAACUCGUUGAACACUCUUAGAUGCAGUAGUAAAGUAUGUUCUUGCGAAUUCUCCAGAGAUGUAAAGUCUGAUAAAAAAGUGACAGGGCUCAAAGAUAAUAAAAUUAAAGAAGAGGAAGGAAUAAGAAGCAGGAGAAAAAGAGGAAAAACGAGACGAAGAGAAAAGUAAAUAUUCUUAUUCUACCUCCUUCUUUGAAAAGCUGAGAAGGGAAUUCUUCUUCCUUCUCUUUGCCUUUCUCUUCUCCUUCUUCUGAUUUCUAAUUGGACGUAUUUAUACUAAAAGGAACUAUGUGCAAAGAUGGGGUGUGCUUGUGGAGGCUGCAUAAGAAACAAUGUAAAAGUGGAUAUAGUUACUUUUGAGAAAAUGGAAGAGCGGGAUUUGACAUUAAAUCAAAAGGAACUGAGCGCUAACUCGUGAGCCUUGGGCAUGUGACUAGAGCGUGUGGACAGGGCUCAUGAGUUAAAGAUCGCCAUGCCGAUCGUCGUCCUUCUCGUCGUUGCCGCUGACGUCACUGGCGCUUUAUAUUCCCCAUUCAUUCUUAUGGCCCGAGCACUAACGAGCACACCCCAUUUUUCCACUUGCACAUAGUUCCAUUUAACAUAAAUACGUCCAAUUUAUUGUGCCCCCAUAGUCAUGCAUCUAAUAGCGGAUUGGAGUCGCAGCUGAUGAUGGGAGCUAAGGUCCCGAAACGUCCCGUUAUUUUAAAAACAAUUUUUUACGCAACUGAGUGUGUUUUUACCAAAAGUUAUCUUUGUGUUUUUAAAGAACUACUACUUUAACUUGUGUAGGCUCCUAACGGUAUUCAAAGGGGGGAAAAAUGCAUCUAAUUACAUGCAGCCACACUCUUCGAACACGAUGAACAUUCUUCAUGAUAAAAAAAAUCGAAUAUCCUAUUUUCCAGUGUACACCUCCAUUCGUUGGUAUUGUUACUUUUAACGUGACAGUUGUGCAUGUCACUUGCUUAUAACAACAUGAGUAAAGUACGUCACUGAAUUUUUCAAUGGCGGAUUACCCCGAAAAGCACUUACCCACUUCAUGACGAGUUACUGAAAGCUGGUAUAAACAAUUUUUUUGCCAUAAGCUUUGAAGUUGAUUGGACCUGUAAAUUUAGUUGGCAGUGAGAGCGUAACGUUGGGAAUACAAUACUCGCUUGAUUGGCAAAUGCUGCCGUGCUAAGGAAAAACGCCGUAUGAGCCUUUAGACGUUGCCAGAUUUUCUUCCCUAAAAACCGACUUUACUGGGAAAAUUUUGAAUAUUUUUCUUUACAUUUUUUAGACGAUUUUGUUCGUAAUUUCAGCUCAAAUAUCUGAAAAUUCAAAAUAAAAAAAUAUGAGAAACUUUCUUUAAAAAUAUGUGUUUUUCCUGGGGACAUUUGGCAACUCUCGAAUGCUCAUGCGGCGUUUUUCCUUAAAGCACUGUAGAAUGGACCUGUAAAUUUAUUUUUCAGUGAAAGCAUAACGAUGGGAAUACAAUUCUCACUUGAUUGGCAAAAUUUCACCUAUGGAUGUAGAUUUUUACUGAACAUGCUAAAAACCCGCCCGUGUGACACACGCCCUUUUACUCACACUCACUUGAGUACAGGAGUAAACAAGGGAAAAAGUUAUUUCCUAGGUAAUUGAUACUUUGCAAGGACCCAUGACUCAUGGGACGCACUUCCGGAGAAAGGAACAAUAUGUCGAUAAAAUAAAUUAACAAGGAAUUUUAUAACUAGAUCGUGUGCGUUUAUGGCUCUUUUAAACUUACAUCCAUCGCAACAUAGUUCUCUUUAGCAUAACUGCAUCCAUCUGAGUUUUUGUUGGAGUUAUUCUGUCGUUCUCCGGUCGAAGGAAUGUAAUUUUCUUCCAAGGUUGCGAAAUCGAUCCAAAUAAAUCCAUUUUUUGCAUACACACACAAAAAAAAAAAAAAAAAAAAAAGUCAUUGCUGUUUCCGUUCAAAAUUUUGCUGAUUUUUGCUUGUGAUCGAGAGAGAAUUCUGUGUAAUUUUCCAUUUGAAAUUCCCGAUUGAAAUCUAGUAGAUUGCUAACCACUCUGUCGUGCUAAGGAAGAACGCCGUAUGAACAUUCGAGAGUCACCACGUUUCCUUUGAUGAAAGGUUUAUUUUUGAGGUAAAUUAUGACCAACCCGUGAGUGGAUUGACAAAUCCGUAAAUCGAUCGACAAACCCGUGAGUCGAUCGAAUUUUGUCGAUCGAAUCGGUGUCGAUCGAUUCACGUUUUCAUUUUUCGAUCCAUUCAUAUCGAUCGAAUCGACACGGGUGUAUUUAAAUUAAAUGUCGAUCGAAUCUGUGUCGAUCGAUUCAUGUCGAUCGAAUCACAUUUUAAUUUUUCGAUCGAUUCAUGUCGAUCGAAUCGACACCGGUCUUUUAAUAAUUUGUCGAUCGAAUCGGUGUCGAUCGAUUCAUGUCGAUCGAUUCACGUUUUCGCAGUUUUCGAUCGAUUCAUGUCGAUCGAAUCCAUACCCUCCAUUUUUUCCUAGUACCGUACACCUCGGAGGAAAACGGUGUAGUUAUACUAAAAAAAGGAAAAGGCACAGAAAAAAAGGUAUGAGUCCGCCGAAAGAUGCAAGUGCUUUAAAUUUGAUCUGGAUCUUAUUCUUUUAUCCUCUUCUUGAAACAUUUUUCGGGAGGCGGACCGCUUGAGGGUGUCUUUCCUACUAACCCAUUUCCAUAUCACCAAGUGACCCUUUUGAGCCAUCUCUGGAUCCGCCGUGCGUGGAGCUCGUCCGAGAGCUGACGUGUAGGUGCGUGGCUGAAAAAGAAUUUUUGGGAAAAAAUUAAUAGCAAAAAAUGUGGUAUAAAUAGGAGAAAAAGAGAGGAAUGUUAGCUACACCGAGGUAGGAUAAAAACGCAAGGUAGAUUUACACAGGUAUGGACAAGUUGAAAAUUUCCCAUGAGCCUCAGUACGUGUCACAUGACCUCGUGACGUAGGUUACGGGGCCCGUUUGACCACACUAUUCUCAACUUCAUGAAUGUAUUGCUCCAUUUAAACAUCAAAACACUAUCACACAUUAACAAUGGUAGGUAAUAAAAUCCUCAGAAACAAUUAAAUUAUCUCCAAAACUUAAAUAACGAAUUAUUACCAAACUGGAGCAACAUAACCAAUAAGUCACCAACCAAUCACAAUAAUGAAAGCAUAAAAUGGCGGAAGUUAAGGGGCCACUAGAGAGCCAAUCAGAGGCCGGGUUUUCAACUUGUCCAUACCUGUGUAAAUCUACCUUGAUAAAAACGAGUAUGAACAGACAAAGCGAAAGUGAGAGAGGAAAAAGUGCAAAACAAGUGAAAAAAGGGUGCAAAAACGUAAAAAAAAUUCCACGCGCUCGUCCGUAAGUUCAAUACCACGCCAAUCGAAGAGGCCUCGUGGCUCGAAUUUUACAAAAAUUUUGUGCGCAGUAUUUUUUUGUUUCGGGUUUUAAAAGUGUGGAAUGAUUUUUUGAUUCGAGCCGAUUGGAGUCGAGAACUUGGAAACCGGUGAAUAUUUUGAUAUUACCAGCAUUAAUAAUCAUAAUUCAAUUCCUGAUCGUGAAUAAAAAUCGAUUCAACACGAGUCAAAACGUUAUAUCUUUGUCGAAACUUCUAGAAAUAUAGUUCAACGAAUAAGCAACACUCAACGAAUGACAACAGUAUGCUACAUUCGUUCGGAUUUUGUGUGAUCUAUUAAUCAAUUUUGCAGUCAAGUUUAACUUCAAAGUGACGGUAUUGUAAGUUGACUGAUCCAAAUGUGAACAUUUGAAGUGAUUUUAUCAUAAAGGAGAGCGACACUGAAUUUCUCUACAUGUUAGCAGCAUAUAUUUCAUG